UUCAUGCUCUUUGGAUGUUGUAAAGGUUUCUUCAUCCAGGAUGAUAUCUGCUGUUACUUCAUGUGAACUUAUGGAGUCAUUUGUUUCUUGACACGUUGAAGAGGUUUCCUCGUCUAGGACAUGAUCUGCUUUUACUUUAUGAGAAAUUAACGAGCCAUUUGUUUCUUGUUGUUGAUUUUGUUUAGCUGGUUGAUUCAACAUAUUUUCUGCUGAUGCAGCAUUAUCUACGACCUCUCUGUGCGAGUUCUUUGAGUCAAUUGCACCAUUUUGAACAUCUGAUUUGAAUCGUUCCCUGUAAAUAUUAAAGAGAUGUAGGUAAUUUGGUCGAGGUAUAUGUGACAUAUUUCAUUAUGUCUCAAAAAUAUGGAUACAUCGUAUAUAAGCAUUCUCAGUCAGGAAACAGACAAUGAAGAUUGCCUGAAAUCUGUUUCAAAGGCUAUGCAUAUGUUGAAAAAUGAAAUUAAAUUGUAACACAAUGGAAUACUAAUUUCGAAGAGUAAUGAAUAUUGUUAAAGUAAUAAGUUAAUUAGAUUAAGGACAGUUUAGUAUUUUGCACUAUAUAAAUCAUUGUAAUCUUAGAUUAUGCAAACAAGUUUGGAGGCUGCUAUCAAUCGGUUUUCUCUCUUUCUCCUCCAUUUUUCAUCUUUGGUUUGUUGUUUUCUACAUGAUAUCAGAGCGGGUUUGAUUUUGGGUUAAACUUGCAAGGUGCUCGUCCGGUGGUCAAAACUUUGUGAUAUGGUCAAAACCUCAAAAAAUUCAAUAUGGCCGCAACCUGCCGUCUCCUCGGCCCCCCAGAACUUCGGCACGCGCCACCAUCCUCCACCAACACCACUGAUGAUGAUCCCAUCAAUAGUCUAAUCAACCGAACCACUGAUUUUGAACUUUCUCACAAGAAGAUUUUGAAAACCAUCCGAUUUUGGGUUUAACUGAAAGUAAUUCAGCAACUUUUAUUUCUUCUGGAAACCCUUGUUUGGAUUUCUUCUUCCAUGUGGUGCCCGAUACUUCGCCCACAGAUUUGAUCGGAUGGCUGGAAUUAGCCUGGACCCACAAUUCAUUGACUGCUUUGAAGCUGAUCUGCAAUCUCAGGGGGUGAGAGGCACUGGAAAAUCUGACAAGGAAGGGUUCUAUACGGCGGCGUUAUGGCUUCAUAAUUACCACCUCAAGACGCUGGCCGGUAAUGUUAAGGUAUUUGCUGAUUUUGGCUACUUUAAAGAUUUGCUUGAAAUACUUUAUAGGAUUCUUAAAGGGCCCUUGAUAAGAAAGAAAGAAAGAAAGAUAAAAAAGAAAAAAAAAAAAUAAAAAUCGAUUGAUAGUAGCUUCCAAAUUUAUUUGCAUAAUAUAAUAUUACAAUGGUUUAUAUAGUGCAAAACUAAGGAAAUAUAAUAAGACUAAACUACCCUUAACCUAAUUAACUUAUUACUUUAACAUCCCCCUCAAACUCACGAUACUACGACAAGGAGCAACGAGAGUUUGACCAACAAAAAGCAUAAAUGAUCAAUCGAAUUUGACUUCGUGGCAAAGUCUACAAGCUGCAACGACGGAG
rnacentral:lncRNA from 1 species